rnacentral:lncRNA from 1 species
GGCCAAGGUAAGAAAGGCUGAAAGACGACCACCACUGAACAAGACACACAAGCUGAAACGUCAAGACUGGGCCAAGAAAUAUCUCAAGACUGAUUUUUUUAAGGUUUUAUGGACUGAUGAAAUGAGAGUGAGUCUUGAUGGGCCAGAUGGAUGGGCCUGUGGCUGGAUUGGUAAAGGGCAAAGAGCUCCAGUCCGACUCAGACGCCAGCAAGGUGGAGGUGGAGUACUGGUUUGGGCUGGUAUCAUCAAAGAUGAGCUUGUGGGGCCUUUUCGGGUUGAGGAUGGAGUCAAACUCAACUCCCAG